UACGUAGGGGGCGAGCGUUAUCCGGAAUGAUUGGGCGUAAAGCGCGCGCAGGCGGCCGCUCAAGCGGGACCUCUAACCCCGGGGCUCAACCCCGGGCCGGGUCCCGAACUGGGCGGCUCGAGUGCGGUAGGGGAGAGCGGAAUUCCAAGUGUAGCGGUGAAAUGCGCAGAUAUUUGGAAGAACACCGAUGGCGAAGGCAGCUCUCUGGGCCGUCACUGACGCUGAGGCGCGAAAGCCGGGGGAGCGAACAGG
rnacentral:rRNA from 3 species